AGGAGUUAGCAGCAGAAAGAAACUAUGUGCGAUGAAGGGUGGGGUAGGAAAAAGCACUCUCUUAUUAAAAUAUUUGUUAUGUAACUUCAACCAAUACACGUCACCUACUGAGUAAAGGAUAUUGUUCAUUCUGAGCAAUUACUCAAAUUGUUUCACAGUGUGUUCUAUUUAUUUGUAUAAGCAUCGUUAAUAUGCAAACUGAAUCAUCCCUUGGAAACCUGAAAGUGAAUUUUGUGAUAAUACAAGGAAUCCUAGGGUAAUCAUACCAGAUGUCUUCUGCAUGCCUUAAUUUACAAAUGCCAACAAUAAAAAGGAGGAAGGAGGAGCCAGGAAGAUUGGAUGCAGUAGCCACCAAGACCCUAGCAUCUGCAUUGUGGAAAGCAGUAUGGUGAUUUCUCAAACAGCUAAAAGCAGAACUACCAUUGGACUCAUCAAACUCACUACUGGGUAUAUAUGCAGAAGAAUAUAAAUCAUUCUACCAUGAAGAUACAUGCACAUGAAUGUUCAUUACACCAUUAUUCACAAUAGCAAAGACAUAGAAUCAACCUAAAUGUCCAUCAGUGACAGACUGGAUAAAGAAAUUGUGGUACAUAUACACCAUGGAAUACUAUGUAGCCAUAAAAAAGAACAAGAUCGUGUCUUUUGCAAGAAUAUGGAUGGAGCUGGAGGCCAUUAUCCUUAGCAAACUAAACCAAAUACUGCAUGUUCUCACUUAUAAGUGGAAGCUAAAUGCUGUUAACAGUAAUAUUCUGUCCACAAAACUCAAGAAGUAAACAGAAAUGGAGAAGAUCAAGUGUUCCUCUAAGUUUCACACAGAAGGUUCUCUAUAUUUAUUUCAUGAAUAAAUCAAAGCCAGAUGUUAUAAGCUAA